rnacentral:rRNA from 1 species
AUUGAACGCUGGCGGCAGGCCUAACACAUGCAAGUCGAGCGAGCGGCGGACGGGUGAGUAAUGUCUGGGAAACUCCCUGAUGGAGGGGGAUAACUACUCGAAACGGUAUCGAUUAUCCCAUACCAUCAGAUGUGCCCAGAUGGGAUUAGCUAGUAGGUGGGGUAAUGGCUCACCUAGGCGACGAUCCCUAGAUGGUCUGAGAGGAUGACCAGCGACAAUGGAACUGAGACACGGUCCAGAUUCCUACGGGAGGCAGCAGUGGGGAAUAUUGCACAAUGGGCGCAAGCCGGAUGCAGCCAUGCCGCGUGUGUGAAGAAGGCCUUCGGGUUGUAAAGCACUUUCAGCGAGGAGGCGUUACCCGCAGAAGAAGCACCGGCUAACUCCGUGCCAGCAGCCGCGGUAAUAC